ensembl:lncRNA
CAUCUUCAGUUUGAAUGAGUUCAUUGCAGAUGAACUUAAACCAAUAUGAACCCAUCCUAUGGCAAAUCUUCUGUCAAGAAGUAUUAAUAAUUGGAGUUAGUUUUCUAAACUAGCUAAGUUCUUUUUUAAUUCACUACUUGAGAAAAUUUGUUUGAUUUUUCAGGGGUACUAUCUUGUGAGAAAGAAAAGCAGACAACUUUAUUCGUACAAUCUGAAUAAUGGUAAUGCAACUCUUGAAAAUGUUGCACUCUUGAUUAAAAAAAUAGGCAAAAUAGGACAUCUGGGAUGUUAUGUCUUCUAGUUUAUUGCAAACCCCUACAUGUAAAAAGAGAGUAAAUUCUCUACAAAGAGACACAGUGUAACAGCUAAUUACAAUAGUGCAAAAAAUGCAGAAAGUUUUAGAAUAUCUGUCACCUCAAAAGGUUGUUGGGUUUCUUUUUGUUGUUGCUCUGAUUAUACAUUCAGAAAGCAUGGAUUUAUUCCCUUUUCUUUUCCCAUGGUACAAUAAAGGUUUCUUUCUUGCUUUUACUGCCUGUGUUUAGGGAUUAGAUAUUUAAAUUAAUUGCUGGAGAAUGAAAGCACAUCAGUCAUUCAUCUAUUUAGUGACAGUCGCGUUUUUAAAAUAGAAUGGAUCUACUUAAUGUUCAUAAACAGAUUCUUUCAGAUUGAUGCCAAAAUGUAUCCAGGGUCUUUGAAGUCCAAGGAGCAUUUUAAGCAAUUUACAGCUAGUAUUAAAAGCUGUUCUUAGUAAUUUGAUGAACUAUAUAUAUCACUAGAACCAACAUUAACUCAUUAAUUAUCAGAAAAGUCCACCUCAAAAUACUUACUGUUUCAUUACGUUUCAUCGCCAUGAAAAUUCACACAAGCACUACAAGUGAGAUUACAAGUGGGAAUUAUUUUUAUGAAAAUAAUUAGGUCUUGCUCCAAACUCAUAUGCUUCUGAUUCAUUUAGAGUCAGCCCGUAUCAGGUCAACUCAGUUUUGAUUUCAUUAGGGAUGAACAUACGUCAAACACUGUUGCCUGAGUUGAGACUCAGAUUUUCAAAGAUCCACAAAAUCUAAACUACAGUGACCUGAAGUAACAUUGAUGCUUGUCACCUCAAAUGAAGAUCAGCAAAGGCAUUGGUACAGCAGAGCCUAUAAGGAACGCAAAUACUCUCUUGUUAUGACUAGGGAAACCCAGAGGCAUCUUCUUCUGCUUUGGGUACAGACUUAAGAUUGAUAAUGUUUAGUGUGUUGGCUUCUAAAUUUCCUCUUGGAUUUUGAAUGGCUGAGCCUUGACUAUAUUCUGACUUUUUGCUGUUUCAUUCUUUGUAUUCACUGUCUCUCCUAGUGAUCCCAGCGUCAAAGUAAUUCUGUGUGAAAAUACACAGAGCAUACAUAGAACACAAAAAAGCUGAGGCAAAGUUCUUUCACUGUGAUAAUAAAUAAAAUCAAUUCAAAUUCAUGAUUGUUGUUUAAACUACUCUGGAUGCUCCUUCUCAGAGCUAACUCCACGUUCUUCUUCAACUAUCAUUGCAUUCACUUUCCAGACCCCCCUCUGGCUUCCCCAACCUGAGGCAGUUCUGCUAUACAACAGUGCCCACCAUCAUUUACUUUUCUCCUAAAAACUUCCUCUCUCCACCAUCCUGUGCCCAUUGUGCUCUGUCCACCCUGUGCCACAUUCUACAUCCAUAUUUUGUGGUCCAUGCUCUUUCUUCUGGAAAGUAGUUAUAUACUGAUUUUUUAAUUUAAUCUGCCCUAAACAGCAACCAUGUUGGGUUGUGCUUUGCCACAGAAACCACCCUGUCAAGUUUUUAAGCUUACAUCACUUUGACAGCAGGUGAGACUGACAACAUACUACUUUGAUUCAUUCAGGUCACACAAAAAUUAUUUCAUAGAAAUCUCUUUGACAGUCUUUAUGUAUAUACAUACAUAAAUUUUUCAGAUAACUCCCGUUCAGUCAGGUGAGCAUGUCUUUGUAACUGUAUUUUGCAGUGCAAGCAUACAAUAAAAG